rnacentral:lncRNA from 1 species
CUUGAGAUAUUUCUCUUCACAUUUCCAAUCACUUUGGUUCCGUUGAAAUAUCCCCUUCGAAAAACUAAUUAAAACUAAUUUACAACAUAAAUAUGUAUAUCUUGUGGAUACUAUUUGUUUUAAUAAUACCAGCAACGUCCUUUUCAUGUGCACAACUUGUAACACAAAAUAAAAAGUCAUACAGUUUUUCGUCUGAAAUUGUUGACUAGAACAUAUUCCAAACAAGAACAAAAUCAAAGUGAACUGCGGGGAAUCCUAUGCAACUGAUUAGAGACAUUUUUAACGGUGUUUGUACACGGAUCAACACUUUGGAGUAAAAAUUAACUCACCACAAGCCGAACAAACUUACCUUUGUUUGUUAAUCAAGACUUCUAUGUAAACGUGAUUGGUAUGAGAUGUAC